GAUUGAAAGGGCGGGCCUACGCCGGCCGACUCCAUCUUGUUCUGUGUUCUCCACCUUGAGUGACUAUGUCCCCGACAUGACCCCUUUUCCGGGAAAAUCACAGAAACCUCAGACCGUGCUUCCUCCCCUUGAGUAACCUCCUGCUCACCCGUUCAAACUUCCUGAUCAAAACACACCCAGCGACCUGCGUAACAGGACUCCGACCCUUCCCCAGCCAGUCGGCCGAGGCCACACCCCUAUAAAACCUUUGUGCUUUUGAAACUCCCUCUCUCUCCCUGGUAUCUCACCGCUGCGUUGGUGCAGGUAGGGGAUUGAGCUCGAGCUAGCUCGAAUAAAGGCUCUUUUGCUUUUGCAUCGGA